GUUCGAUAUAGAAUUCUCGUCUUGCUCUCCGCAGAAAAUCAAGGAAAAUUCUCGUUGCAUCUUUACUAAUAGGACCAAAACGAAUAAUUGCAUUUUGGGCUAAUACUGUCAAUGGAGCCCAAUCAUUUCAACCUGGACCUGGUAACUAAACCAAGAAAUAUGAAUGGGCAAUUCUUAACUUGCCACUAUUAUCCGUUAUCACCUUAUCAUGUUUGGACCAAUGCAAAUAAAGAUCCUUAGGGUUUUCACUUUUUUUUUUGCCAGGGUUACACUUUGUCACUAUAUAUAUAGUGUUGUAAUCAACGUUAGGAGCAUGGUGGCCGCUUGCUUGACAUGAGAAAAUGGAGAGACAACGGAGAAGGAGUUAGGAUUCCGGGAAGCUCAUGGAGUGGGUGAGUAGGCAAGAUAAAUUCUGAAAAGAUUUGUUUUAAUUUCUUAAUGAAGAAAAAGAAACAAAGUAAGAGAUGUUUGUCUUACCUACUCCACCCAUGCCAUCCGUUUCCUAGUAUUCCUCCUUCUCCUCAAGUCUCUGUUGCUGCAUACAACUUGAUCUCCCUCCCAUGAUCCAUCUAUGAUAGUGUGAAGCUUUUCUUUUGCGUGGCGCUUCUUCUGUAACAUCUCAAUCUAUGAGGAAACUGAUGCAUAAUAUUUUCUUUCUUUGAGCAUGGCUUCCAAUUUAAAGUUAGGAUUUUGCUCUUUUUUUCGGAUUAUUGCGUGGCCGCGGUCUUGGAUCUUGGAUUGCAUCUGAGAUCCUUGGAUUCUACAGGUUGUUGAUUCUGUAAUUUGGAACUUGGGAAGUUAAGACUUAAGCCUCGAGGAGAUGGAGUCAAGCAUGCCUUCAGUAUUUAGAUGAAAAAAAAAUCUAAAAAUAGUAAAUACCCAUGCUAAGAUUUGUUUAUGAUUCUGCAAUUUCCAGCGACCAGCUGUAUUUAGAUGGGAACUUCAAAAAGCAGGAAAUAUACGUGCGAUGAUCUGUAUAUGAUGUUUAUCUGUUGCUACAUCUUAAAUAUAUCUUCUUAUAUUUUUUUUUC